GAUCAUAGCUCAGGAUGAACGCUAGCUACAGGCUUAACACAUGCAAGUCGAGGGGCAGCAUGGUCUUAGCUUGCUAAGGCCGAUGGCGACCGGCGCACGGGUGAGUAACGCGUAUCCAACCUGCCUUACACUCUUGGACAGCCUUCUGAAAGGGAGAUUAAUACAAGAUGUUAUCAUGAGUAAGCAUUUUCACAUGAUUAAAGGUUUACCGGUGUAGAUGGGGAGUGCGUU
rnacentral:rRNA from 1 species